UUUUUUGGGAUGUAGACAUACGUAAGUUGGGCACUAAGGAGACAAAGUAGAAUAGGUCUGAGGGGGAGGAGCGCCAGGAAAUGGAACGCCACGAGGCGGGGUGGGACGGUUGGAGGACGAUGUGGGGAGCACGGCGUCCGGUGGAGGCUGGGGCGAGGCGAGCAGUGGUGCGCGGCGGCCGGAAGAGGACGGAGGGUUAGGGUAGAGGAGGAAUGGGCGCCGAAAGAAGCGGCAAGUGGCUAGGGGAGGUGGAUGACCAGCACUGGAGCAUGCACCGUCUCCUACCCUCCCACGCCGCGACCGCAGGCCGAGAUCCUCGAGCUCUCCCGGCUAGACGCGUAGCCGCUGGAGCGCCCUCCGUACCGAAACGCACGACGCGAGCUCUGCUCGACCGAGCUCAUUCCCCUAACCUCCCACCGUGGCCACCCUAGUGCCUGCCCCUACCUCACCCGGCCACGGCCGUUCUAGCUCCGGCCCCUACCUCUCCCGCCAGCCGCUCGAUCGCCGACUCCUACGUUCUCCGCCGCGAUUAAGCGACGAUGCGCGUGGCGUGGUGCAGGGAUCGAAGGAGGAGAGACUAGCUUGUUUAAGGCAAAAUGUUUCCCUAGAUCGCUGAUCUCCCCCUCGACGGUGGCCACUACGACGGCCUCUUCGACCGUUCCAAGGAGGUCUUCACGCGGCUUCCUCAAGGUCCUGCUCGGGGCCAUAUCUCCGCUGGCCACCAUGGAAGUGCCGACCCAAGGUCUACCAGAUGUUAAUGUUUGAGGCAACUAAUAAGUACGAUACCAGUUACGAGAUAGCCGUCGGGUGACUGGUCCGUUGAGACAGUAACUCCUGGCACACCUGGCGUCCUCCUAGGGACUACGAAACAACGAGGACACUAGAAAUUAAACAACGCACCAACAGAUGUUUGCAUGUUAUCGAAGUAAGUUUAAGAAAAAUCUUUAACAAUCUGCUUAAGGAAACAUCUCGAGUCUCUUUUCUAGGCAUCUGUUAUCUUAAUACAAGUCCAAACGUUAUUAAGCAAGAUAAACGAACGUUCGUUGAAAGUAUUCGGUA
rnacentral:rRNA from 1 species